rnacentral:lncRNA from 1 species
UAUUACUGUGGUUCUAAUCUCUCCACUGCUCUUGAUGGAAUCACUGGUCCAGCUAUCCGGGUGUUGUAACUCCCGACCCUUCCUGUCAGUCCAGCAUCUUCUGAUGGAACGGCUUGUAGCGGUUACUGGGAAAAGGAUGGAAGAGGAAAUGGUCCACAAUCAUUGAGAGAUAUCAGCAAACCCAGGCUCUUCGCUGGAAACUCAGCUUGUAAGGUGGAGGCAGUGGCAGAGGAUGAAACAAGGAGUCUCAAGGAUGGCUUCCCAGGAAGAAACAUGCUCCAACUCAGUCCAAGGAUGAGAACCCUGACAAAAGAUCUACUAAUACAUUGCUAACGUCAUCCUCAAUUACCUAGUUGCUGCAUAUCUCCAGCUCAGCACAUUUUAAACCAGGAGAAAACUACCGAGAUCAAACCAUCUCGUGCCUUUUGACACAUCGGCAUAACAGCAUUAUUCAGGACAACUGCAUUAUUCAGAACUCCAAUUCAUUGACUCAUUUUCCAGCGAGACCUCAUUUGUGGCUCUGCCUUUAAGUUAUGCUCCAAAAAGAAC